CCUACGGUGGUAGAAGUGAGGAAGAGUGGUCAAGGGACGCAAGUCGGAACCAGCCAGGCCGCGUGCAGGAAGACGGCUCUAUGAGUUGUAAACUGCUUUUGUACGAGGGUAAACGCAGAUACGCGUAUCUGUCUGAAAGUAUCGUACGAAUAAGGAUCGGCUAACUCCGUGCCAGCAGCCGCGGUAAUACGGAGGAUUCAAGCGUUAUCCGGAUUUAUUGGGUUUAAAGGGUGCGUAGGCGGUCGGAUAAGUUAGAGGUGAAAUCCCGAGGCUCAACUUCGGAAUUGCCUCUGAUACUGUUCGGCUAGAGAGUAGUUGCGGUAGGCGGAAUGUAUGGUGUAGCGGUGAAAUGCUUAGAGAUCAUACAGAACACCGAUUGCGAAGGCAGCUUACCGGCGCUCAACUGACGCUCAUGCACGAAAGCGUGGGUAUCGAACAGGAUUAGAUACCCGUGUAGUC
rnacentral:rRNA from 1 species